rnacentral:rRNA from 1 species
UGGGGAAUAUUGGACAAUGGGGGGAACCCUGAUCCAGCCAUGCCGCGUGAGUGAUGAAGGCCUUAGGGUUGUAAAGCUCUUUCGCUAGGGAAGAUAAUGACGGUACCUAGUAAAGAAGCCCCGGCUAACUUCGUGCCAGCAGCCGCGGUAAUACGGAGGGGGUUAGCGUUGUUCGGAAUUACUGGGCGUAAAGCGCGCGUAGGCGGAUUGGAAAGUUGGGGGUGAAAUCCCGGGGCUCAACCCCGGAACUGCCUCCAAAACUAUCAAUCUAGAGUUCGAGAGAGGUGAGUGGAAUUCCGGGUGUAGAGGUGAAAUUCGUAGAUAUUCGGAGGAACACCAGUGGCGAAGGCGGCUCACUGGCUCGAUACUGACGCUGAGGUGCGAAAGGGUGGGGAGCAAACAGGAUUAGAUACCCCCGUAGUCC